GUAUUUAUUUUAAAAUGCUUUUGCAACCUGACACUGUUCAGCUUUUUUAUCUUUUACCAGUAUUUGGGGACUUAUUGGGGAUUCCUUUGAUAAUUUCAGGAAGAAAGAAGUGGAAUGGAAGGAGCCAGUAACUGUCCCAGGUCAGAAAACGCCUCUGAAAAGGAUCUACAUUACACCCAAAGUUCAUUGGAUAACUGCACCCUCAACAAUCAGGAGACAAUAAGUGGUGUAGACAGAGCUAAUAUCGUCCCCAAAUCAGAUGGUACCACUGAAGACAUUCAGCAUUCCACAGACUGUUCACAGGUUGAGACUUUCCACAUUCAGGAGACAAUAAAGGGUAUGAACCAAGCCAGUAACUGCCCCAAAUCAGAUGGUGCCUCUGAAGACAAUCAGCAUUGCACAGACAGUCCACAGCAUGACAGUAUCUUCCACAUUCAGGAGACAAUAAAGGGUAUGAACCAAGCCAGUAACUGCCCCAAAUCAGAUGGUGCCUCUGAAGACAAUCAGCAUUGCACAGACAGUCCACAGCAUGACAGUAUCUUCCACAUUCAGGAGACAAUAAAGGGUAUGAACCAAGCCAGUAACUGCCCCAAAUCAGAUGGUGCCUCUGAAGACAAUCAGCAUUGCACAGACAGUCCACAGCAUGACAGUAUCUUCCACAUUCAGGAGACAAUAAAGGGUAUGAACCAAGCCAGUAACUGCCCCAAAUCAGAUGGUGCCUCUGAAGACAAUCAGCAUUGCACAGACAGUCCACAGCAUGACAGUAUCUUCCACAUUCAGGAGACAAUAAAGGGUAUGAACCAAGCCAGUAACUGCCCCAAAUCAGAUGGUGCCUCUGAAGACAAUCAGCAUUGCACAGACCGUCCACAGCAUGACAGUAUCUUCCACAUUCAGUGGCUCUUGAUGUAGAACCACCCAUAGAUCCUUCUGCAAAAGAAGUCCAGAAAUCUUCAAUUGAACAAACAACAGAAAUAACAAGUACCACAACUACCAUGAAAGGUACUGUUUGUUAAACUUCAUAGAAAGCCUUUAUGAACUUAAAAAUCUCUGUUUUUUCUGAUGUGCUUUGUUCAUUCAGGUCGAAAGGUGGUAAAGAAAAAGAAAUGGGACAGUGAUGAAAUGAAUGCAGUUGAAAAGCAUCUAAACAGGUUCAUCAAAACUUGUACAGUGCCAGGAAAACAACAAUGUGAGGCCUGUAUAAAUGCUGAACCUGUUGCCUUGAAAGACAGGGAUUGGUUGUCUGUAAAGUUCUUUGUGAAGAACAAAAUCACUACCCUUAAAAGAAGAAUGUAAAGUCAGUUAUUUUAUUUUGUUUGGUAUCUUAUUUUCUGGUAUUUUAGAUUUCUGGUUAUUACAUUUGUUUUAAAAGGAUCUUAGAAUCUCUUUUUUUUUUUUUGGAAAUGGGUGCAAUUCAGUAAAGUGUCUUUGAAUCAAAUGUAAAUAUGUACAGAAUACUGUUCAGAAUGCUACAUAAAAAUAGCAAAAAAAAUAAAUAUUUUAUUCAUGUUAUUAAAUUUUGAUCU
rnacentral:lncRNA from 1 species